rnacentral:rRNA from 1 species
CUACGGGGGGCUCCAGUGAGGAAUAUUGCACAAUGGGGGGAACCCUGAUGCAGCAACGCCGCGUGGAGGAUGACGCAUUUCGGUGUGUAAACUCCUUUUAUAUGUCGAGAAAAUGACGGUAGCAUAUGAAUAAGCACCGGCUAACUCCGUGCCAGCAGCCGCGGUAAUAGCGGAGGGUGCAAGCGUUACUCGGAAUCACUGGGCGUAAAGGACGCGUAGGCGGGUUGGAAAGUCAGGUGUGAAAUCCUACAGCUUAACUGUAGAACUGCACUUGAAACUUCUAAUCUAGAGUAUGGGAGGGGGAGAUGGAAUUAGUGGUGUAGGGGUAAAAUCCGUAGAUAUCACUAGGAAUACCUAAAGCGAAGGCGAUCUCCUGGAACAUUACUGACGCUAAGGCGUGAAAGCGUGGGGAGCAAACAGGAUUAGAUACCCCCGUAGUC